CCUACGGGAGGCAGCAGUGGGGAAUUUUGGACAAUGGGCGCAAGCCUGAUCCAGCCAUGCCGCGUGCAGGAUGAAGGCCUUCGGGUUGUAAACUGCUUUUGUACGGAACGAAAAGACUCUUCCUAAUACGAGGGGUCCAUGACGGUACCGUAAGAAUAAGCACCGGCUAACUACGUGCCAGCAGCCGCGGUAAUACGUAGGGUGCAAGCGUUAAUCGGAAUUACUGGGCGUAAAGCGUGCGCAGGCGGUAAUGUAAGACAGAUGUGAAAUCCCCGGGCGUCAACCUGGGAACUGCAUUUGUGACUGCAUUGCUGGAGUGCGGCAGAGGGGGGAUGGAAUUCCGCGUGUAGCAGUGAAAUGCGUAGAUAUGCGGAGGAACACCGAUGGCGAAAGGCAAUCCCCUGGGCCUGCACUGACGCUCAUGCACGAAAGCGUGGGGAGCAAACAGGAUUAGAUACCCUGGUAGUCCACGCCCUAAACGAUGUCAACUGGUUGUUGGGGUCUUCAUGUACUCAGUAAGAAGACGAACGACGUGAGUAGUAACCGGCCGGGGACCGGGUUACGGCCGGCCGAGGUUAGGUAACGUUAACAAGUUAGAAGUUAGUUACGGCGUUGAGACGNGCGACGGACGACGACGAGGGAGGAGG
rnacentral:rRNA from 1 species